rnacentral:snRNA from 1 species
AUGCUCACUGCAUGGGUACAUGUACCAAGGCUGGAAUCAGCCAGAGAAAAUUAGCAUGGCCCCAUGACACAUUAAUUCAUGAAGUGUUCCAUAUUUAA